rnacentral:lncRNA from 1 species
UGUAAGUGAUCAAGGAUCGGCCAUUACGGGGGUUGAACCGGAUGGGCAUGCCUCGGCCCGACCCAGGAUUGAACGCGUAAGCCAUCUUGAACCCAUAUUUGUUGAGAAUAUCUCGGAUCUCCAGCUGAUCCUGGUCCCACCCGCCGAGGUCAGUCUUAAACACCUCGAUCGGGCCCUUCCCUUGCCGAUAUACGUGCACCUCCGCCUCGGGCACCUUCGUGCUUACAGAUCGAGUUCUUAACGGACUCGGGUCUGGGGUCUGGGUCGAUAUUAAAGGGGUUUCUUCUUCGAUUUCUCCGAUGCUGUUGGUUGUGGUAUCGUCCGCCAUUGUUCCAGGUUUAUUUUUCUGAUUUUUUAUGCUAGCCUGUUUGUGUAUGCACGUAUAGUGUCAACUUUAAGAAAAUUGCAGACAUGAUCCAAAUGUUUCAAUAAUUAUGUCUUAGGUCCUUAACUUUUUUCGUAUUUAAGAUCUCACUUCUCACAAAGAUCAGCCAUUACGGGGGCUGAACCGGAUGGGCAUGCCUCAGCCCGACCCGGGAUUGAAGGCGUAAGCCAUCUUGAACCCAUAUUUGUUGAGAAUAUCUCGGAUCUCCAGCUAAUCCUGGUCCCACUCGCCCGAGGUCAGUCUUAAACACCUCGAUCGGGCCCUUCCCUUGCCGAUAUACGUGCACCUCCGCCUCGAGCACCUUCGUGCUUACAGAUCGAGUUCUUAACGGACUCGGGUCUAGGGUCUGGGUCGAUAUUAAAGGGGUUUCUUCUUUGAUUUCUCCGAUGCUGUUGGUUGUGUUAUCGUCCGCCAUUGUUCCA